AGAGUUUGAUCCUGGCUCAGGAUGAACGCUAGCUACAGGCUUAACGCAUGCAAGUCGAGGGGAAACGACAUCGAAAGCUUGCUUUUGAUGGGCGUCGACCGGCGCACGGGUGAGUAACGCGUAUCCAACCUGCCCACCACUUGGGGAUAACCUUGCGAAAGUAAGACUAAUACCCAAUGACGUCUCUAGAAGACAUCUGAAGGAGAUUAACGAUUUAUCGGCGAUGGAUGGGGAUGCGUCUGAUUAGCUUGUUGGCGGGGUAACGGCCACCAAGGCGACGAUCAGUAGGGGUUCUGAGAGGAAGGUCCCCCACAUUGGAACUGAGACACGGUCCAAACUCCUACGGGAGGCA
rnacentral:rRNA from 1 species